AUUUUCUCUGCCUUUUCUUUGUUUCUAUGAAAUCUUCAAACUUGACCGUUCAAGGGCAGGAACUAGAAUCAAGUGCAAUGCUCCAUUGUGAUGGGCUCUUAUUUAUGACAAGAAAAUUUUCACGGUCCUAGGUUAGUGCUGGCUCAGUCAUUAGAGUGAGGUAUAUAUUCCUUAUUGCAGAGCAUGCGUAUUUCAAUCUUGGUUAAGGGAAUUAGUCAAAAUGCCUAUUAUACCGUCUGGGCGUGAAUGGCAAAGCUGCCAAAGUUUUAUCAAGCAGCACAACAGAAGGAUGUGUGGUCAGUAAUGUACUGAGUGAUUUAGAAUUCUCAACACCACCAUGUGUUUCAGAUGUGGAAGAUUUUAUUCAGGUCAGAAAACAUUACCACCACGUGUACUAGCAAGUGUAAGUAACAAGGUGGCCAAACCAAGGCUAGUGUCUCAUUAAAUGUUCAACUUUAUGAGGCAUUAUGCAAUGUGAGGUAAGAUAACAGUCAACAUCACGAAAGCACCUUAUGUGGAUAUACAGGAGAGCAAUCAUGCGAUUUACAUGACUUGUCGAGAAGAUAUACUUGCAAGAGUUGAAUAUUGCAUAUUGCGUAGUACUCAUACAGUUCCUAAAAGCUAUAGGCAUUCUUGCAUGCUAUAUUUACUAAUUGGGGGCUCUUUUUAAGCCACCACUUCUCUAGAGGAAUUUAUUAGAAGUUUUCAAAAGGAGAUCAUCUGACUAUUGGUUUGAUAAUACUCCCUCUGUCUCAAAAUGUAAUAGUGUCAAAAAACGUCUUACAUUUUGAGACAGUACAAGGACCCUCAGAUAUUUGUAAUAGUUUUUGUUGUACACGAUAGCAGAAGUGCUACUUGCACAUGAUACAUGGUACACGUGAAGUUGAUUCGUCCCUCGACAAAAGAGUCCAACCAGUCAUAGUUAAUCAGAGGAGAGAAAAGUUUUGACGGACACAUUGCCCUAUCGGAUGGAUACAACAACUAUUCCAUAGAUGUCAUGAUAUUGUGCGUACCUAUCAAGUUGAACCAUCUGUCAAAAAGAAAAAUGAAACUGAAUAAUCGUAAUUAGCAGGAAGAAAGCUGCUGUUGGUCAUGUUCCCUAAUAGGAUAGAUAGUUAUGUGUUGGCACAAGUACGAGGAGGCUGCUAAGAAAUAGUAUGCAUCUAUCUUAUACUUCUGAAAAGAGGGUGAAAUUUCCUGUAUUAAUAAGAGACGGACAGGAUCUAUGAUGGAUGCUAUGUAUUUUUUUUCACCACCCAUUGAUUGUGGUAUAUGCUGGAAUAAUGUAAGGGAAAAACAAAUAAAACUUCCCCGAAACUAAAUGUUUUGUGUAGCAUAGCCAUUCCAUCUAUAGAAGAGAACGUCUCAUAAUUCUCAAUCAAUAUUGCCUAUGUAGAAAGUGGUAUAUGUUAAUGUUACAUCAAGAUUAUGUCUGUCUUAGGUAUCAUAUAUACACAUAUUCUCAGAUUAAGUAAACAGUUGGAAAUCCAUUCUGAUUAAGUAAAUAACAGGCGAGCAUCCUCAUCAAUUUUGAACAUAAUACAUGUGCCGUGAUUUCAGUUCAUUGGUCUUUUUAAAUCGUCCUUGAAUUUAACAAAUGUGUCAAAUUAUCCAUUAGACUACAGAUAAGUGUACCAAUCCUAGAUAGAAAUCUAACAAAUCAAUCUUGGUUGACAAGAAAAAACAGUUCUUGGAAAUCCUAGGUCAUUGGGCUGCAAGACUUCCGAAAAUUGGAAGUAAAACAAUUGAGAAUGACAAAUUGACAAUACAAUUAAGUAAAUCUAAUUGAAGUAGUAAUAGAAUUUAUCUUUGGGUAGCAAUUUAAAAGUAUGAAGGGCGGGCCGGGCACAGUGGUAGUCUCUCUCCAUUUGUGGCCUGGCGGCCUGGGUUCAAACCAGCCUCUUUGCAGAAUUAUUAUGCAAGGGUAAGGUUGUCUAGAAAUUCCCUUCCCCAGACCCCACUUUGUGUGGGAGCUUUCAGCACUGGGUACGCCCUUUAGCAAUUAAAAGUAUGAUAUGUUUUCAGUAAUAUUCUUUCAAUGUAUUCCUAUAUAUCUCAGUAUCUCACAUAUAACAAAUUCUGUAAAUUGUUGUACUGUGAUGUGAUUUAAAAAUUAUAGCCAUCCAGUUACAUGGGGCUGAUGACUAGGGCUUAGUUUGGCAGCACAGUUUUUAGAAAACCGUGGUAAUUCAAAACUACAGUGUUCCAAUGUGCGGGCAAGGAAUACUACAGUUUCUUAAACCGUAGUUUUUUUCAGUUUUACCAAAACUACCGAGGUGUUUGGCUGGUGCUGUUUUACCAUAAUUUUGACCGGUUGUUACGUGUGGACGGCAACUGAACCUAACUCAGCUACACUAAAGGAGUUACACGACCGGACUAAUUAGCGUUUGCUAACGGCCGCAGGCUGCAUGCAGUCGCCAUGCAUGAGGUGGCUGAUGUUUAAGGCUUCAACUAACACACCCAUAUGUAUUCUGCUUCAAAUGAACACGCCAUUGCAAGGGAAGAUGACUAAUUGGCUAUCAUCGAAGCUUUGUAUGCUAGUGAUAGAACUUCGGCCAAUCACACACGUAUUCAUACAUCCAUCCUUACGGGAGACCGAAUUGAGAUGUAAAAGAGAUUUUCAGAUGGAGAAGUAUAUUUUUCGUAACUUGGUCCAGUGCCUUUGAGAGGGAUGCCAUCUAAGAGAUACAAAUUUUGUCUCGGUGGAAGAACAGGUAGGCAUAUUUCUUUAUGCCGUUUCGAACAAUGCAACCAAUUGUACACUCCAAGGGCAAUUUCAGCAUAGUGGUGAGACCAUAAGCCGCUAUUCCAAUAUUGUGUUGAACGCACUCAUGAUAUUUUCUGGAAGUGUAAUACAGUUGCCUCCAAUUAAUGUUCCUUUCAAAGUUGCAAGCAAUCCAAAAUUUAUGCCAUAUUUCAUGGUAUUAUUCACAGUAAACUCACCACAGUUGAGUAAUAUUAGUGUCACAAAGGCUUGGAUAUAAGCGCAUCAUAAUCGACAAUAGCUAACUUGGGAGUUAGAGGGCUUGCCUAGGAUAUCUGAUUCCGAGGCUUUAAUUCAGUGGAGUUACUGAACUACUGAUAAUUUGCAUCUUGAUGUACCACAUGACAUGUUAUACUCCCCCUUUUAGAACAUAAUAUCUCAUAUCCUUUUUUUCGUUAU